CCCCGCCCCACCCUAACCCCCCCCUCCCCCCAGUCCAUCCCCUCGGAGAUGGAAUUCGACCCCAAUUCCAACCCCCCCUGCUACAAGACCGUGGACGAGGACAUCGUGAUCCAGCAGGACGACGAGAUCCGGCUCAAGAUCGUGGGGACCCGCGUGGACAAGAACGACAUCUUUGCCAUCGGCUCCUUGAUGGACGAUUACCUGGGCCUCGUCAGCUGAGCACAAGGAGCAGCCGUGCCCCCCCCCCUUCACUUGUUCCCCCACUCCCCAUUUUGUGUUGCCCCCCCGCCACUUCUUCUUCCCCCCUG